AGCAGCCGCGGUAAUUCCAGCUCCAAUAGCGUAUAUUAAAGUUGCUGCAGUUAAAAAGCUCGUAGUUGAAUUUCGGGACCAAUAUGUCGGUCGUGCUUCGGUACGUACUGGCAUCGUUGGUUUCUCCCUUCUGACGAACCAUGAUGUCAUUUAUUUGGUGUCGUGGGGAAUCAGGACUGUUACUUUGAAAAAAUUAGAGUGUUUAAAGCAGGCUCACGCUUGAAUACAUUAGCAUGGAAUAAUGAAAUAGGACGUUUGAUUCUAUUUUGUUGGUUUCUAGGAUUGACGUAAUGAUUAAUAGGGAUAGUUGGGGGCAUUAGUAUUCAAUUGUCAGAGGUGAAAUUCUUGGAUUUAUUGAAGACUAACUACUGCGAAAGCAUUUGCCAAGGAUGUUUUCAUUAAUCAAGAACGAAAGUUAGGGGAUCGAAGACGAUCAGAUACCGUCGUAGUCUUAACCAUAAACUAUGCCGACUAGGGAUCGGAUGAUGUUAAUUUUUAAUGACUCAUUCGGCGCCUUAAC
rnacentral:rRNA from 1 species